rnacentral:rRNA from 1 species
AUAUUGGACAAUGGGGGCAACCCUGAUCCAGCCAUGCCGCGGGUUUGAAGAAGGUCUUCGGAUUUUAAAGCACUUUAAGUUGGGAGGAAGGGCUUUAGGUUAUUACCCUGAGUUUUUGACUUUACCAACAGAAUAAGCCCCGGCUACCUCUUUGCCAGCAGCCGCGGUAAUACAGAGGGUGCAAGCGUUAAUCGGAAUUACUGGGCGUAAAGCGCGCGUAGGUGGUUCAGUAAGAUGGGUGUGAAAUCCCCGGGCUUAACCUGGGAACUGCUUUCAUAACUGCUGAGCUAGAGUACGGUAGAGGGUAGUGGAAUUUCCUGUGUAGCGGUGAAAUGCGUAGAUAUAGGAAGGAACACCAGUGGCGAAGGCGACUACCUGGACUGAUACUGACACUGAGGUGCGAAAGCGUGGGGAGCAAAC